rnacentral:tRNA from 1 species
GCGCCAGUAGCUCAGCUGGAUAGAGCAACGGACUUCUAAUCCGUAGGUCGCAGGUUCGAGUCCUGCCUGGCGUGCCA